rnacentral:rRNA from 1 species
UGGGGAAUUUUGGGCAAUGGGGGAAACCCUGACCCAGCAACGCCGCGUGAAGGAUGAAGUAUUUCGGUAUGUAAACUUCGAAAGAAUAGGAAGAAUAAAUGACGGUACUAUUUAUAAGGUCCGGCUAACUACGUGCCAGCAGCCGCGGUAAUACGUAGGGACCAAGCGUUGUUCGGAUUUACUGGGCGUAAAGGGCGCGUAGGCGGCAUGACAAGUCACUUGUGAAAUCUCUGGGCUUAACCCAGAACGGCCAAGUGAUACUGUCGCGCUAGAGUGCAGAAGGGGCAAUCGGAAUUCUUGGUGUAGCGGUGAAAUGCGUAGAUAUCAAGAGGAACACCUGAGGUGAAGACGGGUUGCUGGGCUGACACUGACGCUGAGGCGCGAAAGCCAGGGGAGCAAACGGGGAUUAGAUACCCACGUAGUCCCUGAGCGGGCUGGCAAGGCGCAU